rnacentral:lncRNA from 13 species
CUUGUCUGAGCUGAAGAGGCAGAUGAGGCAGUGCAGGGUGGAGCUGCAGAGGGGAUAGGAGAUCCAGAGGCUUACCGUGGAGAGACGGAGGGAGUGUCUGGCACUACACUUCACUGACUGGAGGCUCCAAGCCGACCACACCCUCUCUCUGCGCCUGGAUGCAGAGGUGAAUGUGGAGGGGAAGCUGCUGAGUGUCUCUGUAGCCCUGCUGGAGGAAGAGGAAGAGAGCUCUAGGCAGCGUGAGGAUGCCUGGCUGGUUCUCAACAAGAUGCCCCAGCCACCCCAGGCCCCUGUCAGGGGGUGAGCAGUGAAUUCAGCAGAGCUCUCCAGUAUGUAGGGAUUCGCUGCAGCAUACUGCACAUUGUGGAGAGCGCCUCACUCUGGCUACACAGCAGAGUCUCUGCCAUUCACAGUACCACCACCUAUCUGAUGGAGCCUUCAGAUGGACAGAAUACGGGCAAUGACUACUCUCUGAGGAAGAUGAUGGUGAUGGAGGGUGGUUCUAGUCGCUCCCAUAGGCUCUCCCCUCCUCCUUCCUUAUGCCGCUCAGAUCACUUCUCCAGACUGGUGCUCCCUGUGAGGGACAGCUGGAUGGGCCCUGGGAGUGCUGGGCAUGGAGUUAGAAACCAUCUCACCGGGCCACCAGGGGGGGCUGCAGCCUCACGAGCGCAUGGACCUGUCUGCUGCUGGGGCUGCCUGUGUUCAGCUGCACAGAGCGAGCACUGA